GACGUAGGGGGCGAGCGUUGUCCGGAAUCACUGGGCGUAAAGGGCGCGUAGGCGGCGCGGGUAGUCAUCGGUGAAAGUUCAGGGCUCAACUCUGAAUCGGCCGGUGAUACUCUCGUGCUUGAGCACUGUAGAGGCAGGUGGAAUUCCGGGUGUAGCGGUGGAAUGCGUAGAGAUCCGGAAGAACACCGGUGGCGAAGGCGGGUCUCUGGGCCGAAAUUGACGCUGAGGAGCGAAAGCGUGGGGAGCAAACAGG
rnacentral:rRNA from 1 species